UUGGAGGGGUUCUGGACACACUGGAACAUGCUUCUGAUUCUUCAGUCAUAAUGACCUCAGCAUCCACCCAAAUGAGGAAGCCUGAUGGCCUCAAGAUGUAGAUGAGAGGCAGAGAAUAUGAUGCUCUGCUCAUAGAGUCCUGCAGCCAGGCUUUGGAAGAAAGCAAUUAAAAUCCCUCCUGCACAGAAAGGUCUUCAGAACUCAAAAUUCCCAAUAAAUCUGUUGCAUCAGUUCACUGAAA